rnacentral:sRNA from 1 species
CUUUGUAAAUUUUUUUUGGCGGAAGUAGAUUUACAAGGGAUUUUCAAAGGGUUUUAAAAUAUUCACAAGAGAUUUUAAAAGUGUUAUAAAAGAUUUACAAGGUAUUUUAAAAGGGUUUUAAAAGAUUUACAAGGGAUUUUAAAAGAUUUACAAGGGAUUUUAGAUGGUUUUAAAACAAUUUACAAGAGUUUUUAAAGGGUCUUCUUGUAAAUUCUUUAAAACCCUUUUAAACCCUUUAAACCCUUUAAAACCCUUUUAAAACCCUUUUAAACCCUUUAAAAAUCUCUUGUAAAUCUUUUAAAACCCUUUUAAAAUCCCUUGUAAAUCUUAUAAAACACUUUUAAACCCUUUAAAAAUCUUUAAAAAACCUUUGUAAAUCUUUUAAAGCCCUUUAAAAUCUCUUCUAAAUCUUUUAAAACCCUUUUAAAAUCUCUUGUAAAUCUUUUAAACCCCUUUUAAAAUCCCUUGUAAAUCUUUUAAAACCCUUUUAAAAUCCAUUGUAAAUCUUUUAAAACCCUUUUAAAAUCCCUUGUAAAUCUAUUUCCCGCCAAAAAAAAAGUU